rnacentral:lncRNA from 1 species
GAAAGACAUUAAGGGUUUUGUUUUUGUUUUUAAAUAUUGGAAAUUAAUCUUAAAGUCUUGUUCUAGAAGUGCUUUAAUCCAUUUAAGAUUCAGGAGAAAGGAACUAAAAGAUGAUACUUUUUACUAUCUGAGCUAUUUCUGAUGGUGAAGAAGAAUGACAUUUCCUCUUUGCUAUUAGAUAAGCUACCUUUCAUUUUUCACAAUGGUGGUUAAA